rnacentral:lncRNA from 1 species
CACCGGAGGGCAGCAAAGGUAAGAGGCGGCGAUGAGGCCCGAAGGGGAAGGAAACUGGUCUCCAGUCCUCCACGCCACCCCACGCGGCCGGAGCCUCCCAGGUCCCGCCCCGGGCUCGCCGCCCUGCCCCGGCGCCGGCCGCAGCCUCCCGCCCUCCCCGACCCUCCCAGGACGCGCUUCCUCCGGAGCCGGACCCCCGCCCUGGCCUCCUCGCGGGAUAAGGCGGGUCAGUUCAGUCCGCUUCUCGGCAGAGGUGACUCGCGCGGCGGUGUAAACACUGCGAGACCAGCUGCGCGCGGCCCAUCCCCCCCGCCGGGGUCCGUAACCUCUUUGCGCAGCCCUGCCCGGCGCCCCGCGCUCUCCGCGGGCGGGCGCGCCGCCCGCCUUCCCCUUUCUCCAAGUCCCGCUCCCCGACCGCUGCCCGGGGGCACUCAGCCUCCUUUCCCAGCUCCCGGCCGGUGUCACCGCCACAGCCUCUGGAAAACCCUCCGCAAACCCCGGAGCCAACAACACAGGCGCGGGGCGGGGGCGCGGAGGGAGGCGGUGGCACUCGGGACGGCGAGUCUUUCUCGCCGCACCCUCCGCGCUCCCUCGCACCAGCCUCGGCGGCCCGCGCGCUCUUACCUGUUCUCCGCGUCGCCCGGGAAGACCGCCGCGUCGCCUUCCCUCCCGGCAGGGCCGCGGACUAGCCGCCGCCGCCGCCGCCGUUGGCCGGGCGUCCGGAGGGAGCCGGGGCCUCCCCGGCUGCCCGAGCCGCUCCACUGGGAGAGGAGGAGACAAAACAGCGGCGCGCCGCCCCGCGCAGAGCCCCCCGCCCGCGCCCCCCUCCCGGCCCCCUCCCCCCUCCACCCCCCGCCUCGGCUCCUCCCCCUCGGCCUCCAGCCGCCGCCAACAGGACAGUCGAGUCCGCCUCCCCCACCCCGCCCGCUCAGCGCGCUCCUCCCCUCCCCACGCGGCGAGGGGGGGCGGCACCGCCAGUCACCAACGCGCCUGUCAAACCCGGGCCGGCUAUUUAUAUCCCGCGGGGCCCCGCCGCCCUCGGCCCCCACCAGCCCGCCCACCAGGCCUCGAUGGCUCUCUCGAAUCUCGCCCGCCCUGUAG